AAGCAGUGGCAUCUACGCAGAAAAGAAAUUUGUGUUGAGGGGACUCCUUCCAGAGUUAACAGGAAAAUGAUACUCAAGACC